CAAUAGCGUAUAUUAAAGUUGUUGCAGUUAAAAAGCUCGUAGUUGGAUUUCUGGCUCGUGCCGCUUGUGUCCGCGAUCUCUGAAGGUCGUGCUGUACGCUCGCGGUCGGCCACUCUUUCUGGGUGUCCCUGGUGCUCUUCACUGAGUCGCCGGUGGUUGCGUCCAGAUCAUUUACUUUGAGAAAAUUAGAGUGUUCAAGGCAGGCAUUCGUUGCCGUGAAUAUAUUAGCAUGGAAUAAUAAGAUAGGACUUUGGUCGUAUUUUGUUGGUUCUACAGCCGAAGUAAUGAUUGAUAGGGAUAGUUGGGGGUGCUAGUAUUCUGCGGCCAGAGGUGAAAUUCUGUGAUUCGCGGAGGACUGACUUAUGCGAAAGCAUUCACCAAGGAUGUCUNCUUUAA
rnacentral:rRNA from 1 species